rnacentral:rRNA from 1 species
UACGUAGGGGGCAAGCGUUUGUCCGGAAUCAUUGGGCGUAAAGAGCGUGUAGGCGGCUCGAUAAGUCUGCUGUGAAAGUCCAGGCUCAACCCUGGAAGGCCGGUGGAAACUGUCGGGCUAGAGUCCGGAAGAGGCGAGUGGAAUUCCCGGUGUAGCGGUGAAAUGCGCAGAUAUCGGGAGGAACACCAAUGGCGAAGGCAGCUCGCUGGGACGGUACUGACGCUGAGGCGCGAACAGCGUGGGGAGCAAACGAGG